rnacentral:piRNA from 1 species
GCCAUUAUGAAGAGUCUUACUAG